AAUGGGCGCAAGCCUGAUGCAGCAACGCCGCGUGAGCGAUGAAGGCCUUCGGGUCGUAAAGCUCUGUCCUCAAGGAAGAAUAAAUGACGGUACUUGAGGAGAAGCCCGCUACUACGUGCCAGCAGCCGCGGUAAUACGUAGGGGGCAAAGCGUUAUCCGGAAUCACUGGGCGUAAAGGGUGCGUAGGCGGUUUUCAAGUCAGAAGUGAAAGGCUAUGGCUCAACCAUAGUAAGCUUUUGAAACUGUUAAACUUGAGUGCAGGAGAGGAAAGUGGAAUUCCUAGUGUAGAGGUGAAAUUCGUAGAUAUUAGGAGGAACACCAGUGGCGAAGGCGACUUUCUGGACUGUAACUGACGCUGAGGCACGAAAGCGUGGGGAGCGAACAGGAUUAGAUACCCUGGUAG
rnacentral:rRNA from 1 species